GUUUUGAUAUUCAGGAUUACCUGAUCCAUCUUACUUUCAUGCCAGUUUUUUAAAGGAACAGUGGAUUGGAUCCCUGUGAUCCUAAUACCAUAUUUUAGGAUUACCAAUCCUGUUUCCAGAGCCUUAAAUGGAACCAACAGUGUAGCCUACUGGCAUAGCAAAGAACAACAGCUAGGCUAAAUAGCCA